UGCUCUCCUCGCACGCAAGCCUUCCCCGUGAGUAAAUAAUCCUCCCCUCGUCUCCUCUCCCCCGCGACUACUCGCCGCCACUGCCACCGCCACGACCCAUGCCGGCCGAUUCCGGCGAGUCCCAGCGGCGGGUGACACACUAACACCUCCCCUGGCCCUACUCCUUCCUUCCAUCCGUCCAGAUCCGUCCUCCUCUCCUCGUCUCUCUCCUCCGCGUCUUCCUCUAGGAAGCCUUGCGGCUGCAGUAGGAGAGGAGUCAAGGGGGCCGGGCUAGCCGAUUUCCUCGCCGGAUCUGGAGCACAGGGGCGCCGCCGCUGCCGCGCGCACAACAAGCCGCAGCCACUUCCACUCCGGCGCCGAUUGAUGGGCCUCUCCACCCUCGCGCACCCGCCUCCCGCCUCCCGCCCCCAGGACCUGCAGAUCCUUGCCUUCACAUGGGUGAUGUCUCUAGUGAAGGAGGGCGGAGGCUCGCGCCCCCGUCGACCUGUCCUUCUCGUCGGUCGCGCCCCAUGCUAGCAGGUGGGCAGAGCCUCAUCAUCGUCAGCGGGAGGAGGCUAGCAGCAAUCGCAGCAGGUGGCGGUGGUGGUGAAAGAAUCGAUGAUGGCGCAAGGCCCACCGCUUCUUCUGCUGCGGUGCUGCACAACGGCGUCUCUGCGGGGAUCGGUGAUGACGCAAGGAACUAAGACCUCCAGCGAGGCGGUCUUGGGUGCAGUAGCGAAAUUUGUUCAUUGGAUAGAGCUUUGAAUAGGUUAGCCCACCUUCUCUCUAUUUACAUUCAUGUGCAGAAUGGGUGAUGUUGCAUCAGAACCUUUUGUUUCUUCUUUGGUCAAGUUACAUAUGUAUCAAGAUGUGAGUUGCUAAAUGUUCAUGUACGUCUCAUGGAUGGACACUACCUUGCAGGCUUAAUGGUUUUGGUUCACGUAGAAGAGAUCCAUCCUUAGGCUUAAUGGUUUCUUGAUCUUCACUCCUAUUUCUCAGCAUUUUUGUUUAUCCUCAAAUAGUUCCUGCUUAGCUCGUUUGUCACUUGUGCUUGUUAUUAUUCUGGAUGUUAAGUGGGUGAAAUAGUUGGUGAUGUUUAGUGUGGAAGCCACUCAAAACCGUUGUAUAUAGUUGCAUUUGAGAUUUUUCGUCCAACGAUGUGUUCAAAUUUAUACAAUUGGAUUUCCAAAAAAAAUCCCGAGUCUUUGUUACACAAAGACAAGAUCACAAGAAAGGGACUUUUAGUCAUUAGUGAAUCCUACAUUUGUUUUAGCCCUUCUGUUGGCAGUAUACCGAUCUGAUUACACAUAUGUGUGAAACAAAAUUGAAAUACUCAGGUUUGGUAUUGUUCUCUUCUGUUUUUCAUUGGGUUUAGGAUGGCUUACCGCCCUUACAUAUUUAGUUCAGAACCUUCUGUCCAGUAGGUGUUCUCCGCGAAUUUAUUACGACCAAUUGUCAUAGCCUGCUAUGGUUGCUUCAUGAUCCUUUGUCUUGAACUUUAUUUUCCUAAAUUGCUUGCUUGUGAUGGAUUAAUAUGUCAUUUUGUGAGUGUUGCUUGUUUAAAAUUGAUUCUCUGGUUGCCAUUUUUCUUUUGAGCAAGCUGCUUGAAUUUUAGGUAACCUGACAGGGCCCGCAACAUUGAUGUUGCAUUCAUGAAUCUCUCAUACACAGGUAAGAAAUAUUCUCCCUCUCAUAAAAUCAUUUUAGUGCAUGAUGGAGGUUUGCUCACGUCCUUUCCAUUUCUGUUGGUUAGAAAAUAUUUUCCAUUGUUGGGUAUUCACAGAAAUUUAGGGAAUAUUUGUUGUCAAUGAUUUUAUUGCGGUCCACACUCCAAAGCUGAUUUAAGGAUCGAGUGAAGGUGGAGCGGCAUAUUCAAACUUGCAUAUCAUGGCCUAACCCGCUCUCGAGCAAUCCGACAUUGUUUACUCUUCGUUAGGUUUGCCUCUGUUUUUUUGUUUUCCAACUUUGCUUCUUCUGUCUUCUUUGUUUUCUUAUAUGUUUUUUCACAACUCUUGGCAGCAAUACCUCGCGCGAAUAUAUAUUUUAGAGUUAAUGAAAAUCUCAGUUACUCUUGGCUCACUGCAAUAUAGCAAGUAUAUCUUUAAGAUGGAAAUUUAGCUAACAUUUCAGUUUAUUUUACUGCGGUCUACUAACACUCUUGAUCCUCAUAGGAUCAUGGAUGUUGCUUCGGAUAAGGCCAAUUAAAGAAAUUAUAGGCCCUGUUAUUCAAAGAAGCGUUACAAUAGCUACCCGAACUACUGAGGAGUUUAUUCUUAAGGAUUUGGCAAUAUAAUCUGAUGAUAGUGUGUUAUCUCACGCUGCACAUUUGAUGGUUGGCAUGCUAGCUGUGAGUCUAGCUCAUGUAACUUCCAAGGAGCCUCUUUGUGUUGUUUUGUCAUCUCAUCAUCGAAGUCUCAUUUAGAACUUGAACAAUAACAGUGAAACCACUGAGCAGAUUGUUCAUAUUGUGAUAAAUGACCAUCUAGAUCGUGGAUGUGUGCUAAUAGAGACUGUUGCAACACACAAGGCUUACAAGAUGGAGUGCUAACCAGGUGGAGUGCUAACCAGAAGGGCAACAAGGUGUAGUGGCAUCGAAACAAGUUCAAGACUUCUGGUCGAGUGAAACUAAGGACAACAAGGAUACAAUGGAAAAGGUUUGUGAAAUUGUUAAGAGGCAACUUGCUGUUUCUGAAGGCACUGAAGUUUGUGGUAGCACCAACUUCUCUGACCUUGGAGCUGAUUCACUGGACAUGAUGCAAGUGCUUCUGACUGCUGAAGUUUGUAAUUCAAAGGAACAAGGAGCAAAGAACUCCUAGCUUGUAGUUAAGAUCAUAGGCUUGCUGUUAUUCUCUUGUGAUUCAGAAUUUUAGUCGAAGAAUCUUGGCUUCUUGUUGGAUUUCUGCAGUAAAGUCCAGUGGUUAUCAUUCAUCAUCCUGCCCAGAGGAUUUCAUUUUGUGAAUGCCCGAGUUUAGAAAUUUUUCCUCUGUUCAUCAUCGACGUAUUGUCCAUGAUAGUUGUUCAUAUGAGGGAGUACAUUUUCCAGCAAUGCAUUUCCGUUGGUCCCGUGACUUA